GACGAACGCUGGCGGCGUGCUUAACACAUGCAAGUCGAGCGGAGCGGCGAACGGGUGAGUAACGCGUGAGUAACUGCCCCCCUCUCUGGGAUAACAGUUGGAAACGGCUGCUAAUACCGGAUAGUGGGGGAUGACUCGCGUCCUAUCAGCCUGUUGGUGGGGUAGUGGCUUACCAAGGCGACGACGGGUAGCCGGCCUGAGAGGGCGACCGGCCACAGUCGGCUGGGGUACGGCCCGGACGGCGGCGGGAGGCAGCAGUGGGUGGGAUUGCACAAUGGGCGGAAGCCUGAUGGAGCGACGCCGGGUGGGGGAUGAAGGCUUGCGGGUUGUAAACCGCAUGACACCAUUUUGGGGUAGGUGGGGAAGAAGCGCCGGCUAACUACGUGCCAGCAGCCGCGGUAAUAC
rnacentral:rRNA from 1 species